rnacentral:rRNA from 1 species
AUUGAACGCUGGCGGCAGGCUUAACACAUGCAAGUCGAGCGGAGCGAGGGUGCUUGCACCUUAGCUUAGCGGCGGACGGGUGAGUAAUGCUUAGGAAUCUGCCUAUUAGUGGGGGACAACAUUCCGAAAGGAAUGCUAAUACCGCAUACGCCCUACGGGGGAAAGCAGGGGAUCUUCGGACCUUGCGCUAAUAGAUGAGCCUAAGUCGGAUUAGCUAGUUGGUGGGGUAAAGGCCUACCAAGGCGACGAUCUGUAGCGGGUCUGAGAGGAUGAUCCGCCACACUGGGACUGAGACACGGCCCAGACUCCUACGGGAGGCAGCAGUGGGGAAUAUUGGACAAUGGGCGGAAGCCUGAUCCAGCCAUGCCGCGUGUGUGAAGAAGGCCUUUUGGUUGUAAAGCACUUUAAGCGAGGAGGAGGCUACUAGUACUAAUACUACUGGAUAGUGGACGUUACUCGCAGAAUAAGCACCGGCUAACUCUGUGCCAGCAGCCGCAGUAAAAC